rnacentral:rRNA from 1 species
GACGAACGCUGGCGGCGUGCUUAACACAUGCAAGUCGAACGGAAAGGCCCUGCUUUUGUGGGGUGCUCGAGUGGCGAACGGGUGAGUAAAACGUGAGUAACCUGCCCUUGACUUUGGGAUAACUUCAGGAAACUGGGGCUAAUACCGGAUAGAAGCUCCUGCUGCAUGGUGGGGGUUGGAAGGUUUCGGCGGUUGGGGAUGGACUCGCGGCUUAUCAGCUUGUUGGUGGGGUAGUGGCUUACCAAGGCUUUGACGGGUAGCCGGCCUGAGAGGGUGACCGGCCACAUUGGGACUGAGAUACGGCCCAGACUCCUACGGGAGGCAGCAGUGGGGAAUAUUGCACAAUGGGCGGAAGCCUGAUGCAGCAACGCCGCGUGCGGGAUGACGGCCUUCGGGUUGUAAACCGCUUUCGCCUGUGACGAAGCGUGAGUGACGGUAAUGGGUAAAGAAGCACCGGCUAACUACGUG